ensembl:snRNA U6 U6 spliceosomal RNA
GUACUCAAUUCGACAGCGCAUAUACUAUUGAUACAGAGAAAAUUAGCAUGACCCCUGCACAAGGAUGAAGCGUUCCAUAUUUUU